GCCAGUGUAGUUUAGUAGUUUGAGCUUUGGACUACAACUCUGCAGAUCAGGGUUCAAAUCCCUGCUUAAUCA